CUUGCACAUAUUAUUCUUCAUCAUGAUCAUCAAACAAGUGUUUAUAUAUCUUUAGAUUUCAUCACCAACCACAUAUCUUGCUUGCAUCAGACGGUGAGAAUUCAAAGUUGGUAAGAAUACACUGAAUCCGGACAUCGGAAAUCAAUCUCCACCCUACAUAUGACCAUACUUUUCCAUGAUUCUGUCAAGCAUUCUUGGUUUGGGAAAAAAGUAUCUUUGAAUGUCAUUUUUCCUUUUACUCCCAAGGAUAAUCUAUCUUGGUUGAAUGAAUGCAAAUGGAUGGUUGUUUAUGAUUACAAAAAUGCUGUUCCAAUCGGUCUUGUUCGAACAGGGGGGCAAUGUGGUGCCCCUAUAUACGGAGUGCCACGUCGGAGCGUCAGCCCUGUCUUUCUGGCAUAACUGUUAUGAUUAUCCAAGCAAGACGAGAAGUACGUGCUCGAUUUUCUGAAAUAAACUGAGAUAACUGAUAGGCCUAUCACACUUUCGCUACACAUCUUUAUUGCUUUAAUCUGUACAAAGCAAAAAAGAUAUUUACAUUCACAAGAAACAAAUUCAAUGAACACGCUUACUCGAGGAUUUGAA
rnacentral:lncRNA from 1 species